rnacentral:tRNA from 1 species
GCCUUCGUGGUGUAACGGUAGCACACUCGGCGCAUAAUCGGCAGGUCCAGGUUCGAGUCCCGGCGAGGACG